GCCAGGUGUGGUGGUGCACACCUGUAAUCCCAGCAGCUCGGGAGGCUAAUACAGGAGGAUCAUGAGUUCUAAGCCAGCCUCAGCAAUGGUGAGGCACUAAGCAACUCAGUAAGACCCUGUCUCUA
rnacentral:sRNA from 1 species